GCCUGACCCCCUUAGGCCAAUCCCGUGGCCCUGGGGAGUUGGGCUAACAGUAGGACAGAGACACCAUAAGGGCCCAGCUGUAACGGAGAAGAGGGGGCGCAGGUUGGGGGGGGGGGAGGGUGUCGGCACUGUAACCGCUCCCACCGGCCCUAGUAGGCACCAGCUGAAUGCAGGAAGCCUGCAAAGCUCUGAGUUCCCUGUAUCUUCAAAGUGCUUUGUUCUAUCUUUUCCUGCUGAUCCUCGCGAUGCCGACGCCCCCAUGCUUCCUAUUACAUAGGAGGCAUUAAGGAGUUGUGACUCCCCACAUAUUUCUUAUUCCUCAUAUUUCUCAUUCUCAGUGGGAAAUAUUACUGGAGUUUGUGCCAACUCCCCAUGUGUUUUAA